ACUCAAAUGAAUUGACGGGGGCCCGCACAAGCGGUGGAGUAUGUGGUUCAAUUCGACGCAACGCGCAGAACCUUACCUGGGUUUAACAUCCCACGACAAGCGUAGAGAUACGCCUUCUACUUCGGUAGCGUGGAGAUAGGUGCUGCAUGGCUGUCGUCAGCUCGUGUCGUAAGAUGUUGGGUUAAGUCCCGCAACGAGCGCAACCCCUAUCCUUAGUUACCAUCAUUAAGUUGGGGACUCUAGGGAGACUGCCGGUGUUAAACCGGAGGAAGGCGGGGAUGACGUCAAGUCCUCAUGGCCCUUACAUCCAGGGCUACACACGUACUACAAUGGCAGAAACAAACCGAUGCGAAGCCGCGAGGUGGAGCCAAUCGGAAAAACACUGUCUCAGUCCGGAUUGGAGUCUGCAACUCGACUCCAUGAAGUUGGAAUCGCUAGUAAUCGCAGAUCAGCACGCUGCGGUGAAUACGUUCCCGGGCCUUGCACACACCGCCCGU
rnacentral:rRNA from 1 species